rnacentral:rRNA from 1 species
CCUACGGGAGGCUGCAGUGAGGAAUAUUGGUCAAUGGACGAGAGUCUGAACCAGCCAAGUAGCGUGAAGGAUGACUGCCCUAUGGGUUGUAAACUUCUUUUAUAUGGGAAUAAAAUGUUCCACGUGUGGGAUUUUGUAUGUACCAUAUGAAUAAGGAUCGGCUAACUCCGUGCCAGCAGCCGCGGUAAUACGGAGGAUCCGAGCGUUAUCCGGAUUUAUUGGGUUUAAAGGGAGCGUAGGUGGACUGUUAAGUCAGUUGUGAAAGUGUGCGGCUCAACCGUAAGAUUGCAGUUGAAACUGGCAGUCUUGAGUACAGUAGAGGUGGGCGGAAUUCGUGGUGUAGCGGUGAAAUGCUUAGAUAUCGCGAAGAACUCCGAUUGCGAAGGCAGUUCACUGGACUGCAACUGACACUGAGGCUCGAAAGUGUGGGUAUCAAACAGGAUUAGAUACCCGUGUAGUC